UACCAAACACCCAACCCCACCCCACCUGCGCACCUUUACUCCCUUUUAUCACAUGAAACAAAAGCAGCCCCUCUUUAUCCACACCUCAAACUUCUAAAUCCAAACCACAUGACACACUCCCUUGUACACUCUGCAGUAAAACUUGUACACCCAUCUUCAAUCUAAAACUUUUGCUCUGGAAAGAAGUUCUUCCUAAACAAAACCUUAAAGCUUCACUUACACCUUUCACUACGCCAUCAUUACAUGAUCAUAUUAUUAUAUAUUUAUAUAACCCAUACUUAUCAAUAAUACAUCUAAUCGGCGAUUUGCCACAAUUACCGCCGGAUUCCAUCUGGGUAUUCAUUCUUUCAUCUAAAUUUGUAAACUUUAUUAAUCUUUAGCAAUACCCAGAUCGAAAUUUGUAACCCCCCUUUUUUAAUUUUCAAGAUUUUACAUGGGUUUUCAUUCUUUCAUCUAAAUUUGCGAACUUUUUCAGUUUUUAGCAAUACCCAGAUCGAAAUUUGUAACCCCCCUUUUUCAAUUUUCAAGAUUUUAUAAAAAAGUUAAGUGGGUCUUUUAACUUGUUUCUCAAGUAAAGAAGAAGGAAUCCACCGGUGGAUUUGAGAUCUAGUUGAUGUUGGAUUGCUGUAAGAUGCGGAUCUAAGAUCUGGUUUAAAUUUUAAACCUUUGAUAUGGAAUCUAACAUAGAAGAAGCUAUUAGAGCGAAAGAACAUGCGGAGAAACUGUUUGCGGUCAAAGAUUUCGUAGGCGCAAGGCGUUACGCUUCAAAGGCUCAAGCUUUUUGCCCCCAAUUGGAGGAUAUUGCUCAAAUGGUGGCCACUUAUGAGAUAUACGCGGCUACCGAGUCAAAGAUCAAUGGAGAAAUCGACUUGUAUUUGGUUCUCGGAUCGGAUCCAUCUGCAAGUAGAUCGGUACUAAAAAAACAAUACAAAAGAUUAGCUGCGUUGUUGGACCCCGGCAAAAACAAGACUAUCGGGGCUGAUGAAGCGUUUAAGCUUGUUUCCGAAGCGUGGACGGUUUUGUCGAAUAACGCAAGGAGGAGGACGUAUGAUGUUAGGAGGAAUAAGAACUUAUUGGCUAUGGUUGACCGGUCAAAUGUAUCUUCUGGAGUUAGAACCGACACGUUUUGGACUGUGUGUACGUCUUGUCGGGUCCAAUAUGAAUAUCUUAGAAAGUAUGUGAACAAAAGGCUUUCUUGUAAGAACUGUCGUGGCGUUUUUGUCGCUGUUGAGACGGGUACGGCUCCGGUGGCGUUUUGCCCGUGGUCGUAUACAACCAAUAACGGGUUCACAAACUCUUCGUACACUGCAGCGUUUCAUUCUGGAAACGGGCCCGAUAUCAGCAACAAUGUGUCGUUUCAGUGGAAUACUUCUGCUAUCACCGACCCGAAUGGAUUUUCGUACAAAUCCGUUAAUCUUGCUCAUACGGGUAAUGCGGAUGUCAGUGGAGGAAGAGCGAACGGGAAGCACAUCGGUAGGCCUCCUAAGAAGAGAAAGAUUGAAGUGGGAGAUGCAUCACGGGCCACAAACGGUGAAACGGGUUCGUUAACGGAACCAGAUGCGGGUGUAAAUAGCGUACCAAACGGGUGCUUUUCGUUUGAACCUGUUCUUGAUGUUAGAAAGCUGUUAAUCGAUAAAGCCCGAUCAGUGAUUCGGGUCAAGUUAGAAGAAAUGAAGUUAGCUUCAAAAGCCGAAAAGAACGGGAAAAAGACGAAAAACACGAUGAUCGUCCCGGACCCUGAUUUCCAUGAUUUUGAUAACGACAGAUCGGAGAAAGUAUUUAAACCGAAACAAAUAUGGGCGAUUUACGAUGAAGAAGACGGGAUGCCUCGUCUUUACUGUUUGAUCCGUCAAGUCCUUUCGUAUAAACCGUUUCGCGUUUACAUCAGCUACUUGAGCUCAAAAACCGACACGGAAUUCGGUUGCGUGAAAUGGAUCGAAUCCGGAUUUACGAAAUCUUGUGGAAGUUUUAGGGUGUUUCAUUCCGAUGUCGUUGACCAAGUCAACAUUUUUUCUCAUCUUUUAGGACGAGAGAAGGCGGGUAGAGGCGGUUGCGUUAGAAUCUACCCGAAAACCGGAGAUAUAUGGGCUGUGUAUCGAAACUGGUCGGAAAACUGGAACAGGAAAACACCAAAAGAAGUGGUGCAUCAGUAUGAAAUGGUGGAGGUUGUUGGUGAUUAUACCGAUGAACACGGAGUCUGCGUGGCGCCUUUAGUCAAGUUAAAGGGGUACAAAACGGUGUACCAAAGGAAUCCUGAUGAACACGCGGUUUGCUGGAUUCCAAAGAGAGAGAUGUUGCGGUUUUCGCAUCAGGUUCCGUCUUUCUUGCUUGAAGAUCAAGCUCUUAACUUGCCGGAUAGAUGUUGGGAUCUUGACCCUGCUGCAACACCUGAAGAGCUUCUUCAGGCGGCAAUGGAGGAAAAACCGGCGAAUGCGGCGGCUCCGGGGGAAUGUUGAAGAGGUGUUUUGUUUUAGUUAUAUUUAAUUUGACAAGUUAGAUUGAUAAUGUACAGACAUAAGACAGCAGACAGACAGACAGACACAGGGGAGAAGAUGAAAGAAUUUAGAGCGGCUUAAUUUGUCCAUUUGACUAUCAAAUGCUAGGAACGAUCCGGUAUUCAAAAGAAUAAGCCUAAUCUAGACUCGGGGCCUCGGGGGUGGAGGAUAUAAAAGCGCGAGCGUUUUCUUGGA